GAUGAACGCUGGCGGCGUGCCUAAUACAUGCAAGUCGAGCGAACAGACGAGGAGCUUGCUCCUCUGACGUUAGCGACGGGCGGGUGAGUAACACGUGGAUAACCUACCUAUAAGACUGGGAUAACUUCGGGAAACCGGAGCUAAUACCAGAUAAUAUAUUGAACCGCAUGGUGCAAUAGUGAAAGACGGUUUUGCUGUCAAUUAUAGAUGGAUCCGCGCCGCAUUAGAUAGUUGGUAAGGUAACGGCUUACCAAGGCAACGAUGCGUAGCCGACCUGAGAGAGUGAUCGUCCACACUGGGACUGAGUCACGGUCCAGACUCCGACGGGAGGCAGCAGUAGGGAAUCUCCCGCGAUGGGCGAAAGCCUGAUGGAGCAACGCCGCGUGAGCUAUGAAGGUCUUCGGAUCGUGAAACUCUGUUAUUAGGGAAGAACAAAUGUGUAAGUAACUAUGCACGUCAUGACGGUACCUAAUCAGAAAGCCACGGCUAACUACGUG
rnacentral:rRNA from 1 species